rnacentral:lncRNA from 1 species
CUUCAGCCCCCAGACAUUCUUUUUGUUAGCCUUUUUGUGUACCUUGAUAGUAAGAUCAGUUAUCCCAGUCAGUUAUGUAACCCCCUUUGUUGGUUAAUUCAUUGUCAUGAAGACCAAAAGUGGUUGAUUGACAGUCUGAGUUUCCAGUUUAAUGGUGUCAUUGCUGCAUUCCUUGGUGGAAACAUUCCUUCCUUGGGAAUGAAGACCUCUAAAUUCACAAAGCCUAAUGUUGUUGGGAUUGAAAGAAAAAAAGAAGAAAAAAAAAUGAAAAAAAAAAAGACGAACAUGUUUAUGUGCUUAUGGGAAUAAGCUAAUAGAGGAAGAAUGACACUGAAGACAGGAGAGAGAUUUUAUGAUUGCUGGAGCAGUGGUCUUGAGGAGGAAAGAAUUGACUUUACUACAAGGAUUGGCUUUAUUUAAGAGUUCCGACAACUUCUAUUAGGAAGAGACAGUUUAUGGGCAUGGAUGCAUGUAGGCUGAUAGAUGGUGGUUGUUAUUACAUAUCAAUGACUUAAGAAGCAAAGUUAGCAGUUAAGAACGAGAAUGUGCUAAUACAAAUGAACAUAGGUCAAUCUCAGAAUACUUGAGGAUUUAAUAAGGUACAAUUGCUCAGCUUUCUGUCACUUUGACCAAACACCUGAGAUAAAAAAAAAUAUUAAAGAUUUAUUUUGGUUCAUGGUUUUAGAGGUUUCAGUCCAUAGUUGGCUGACUCCAUUGGCUUGGGCUUGAGAUGAGGCAGAAGAACAUCAUUA